UACGGGGGGAGCAAGCGUUGUUCGGAUUUACUGGGCGUAAAGCGUGCGCAGGCGGUUUGUUAAGUCCGUUGUGAAAGCCCCGAGCUCAACUUGGGAAUUGCAGUGGAUACUGGCAGGCUGGAGUACGGUAGAGGAAGGUGGAAUUCCCGGUGUAGCAGUGAAAUGCGUAGAGAUCGGGAGGAACACCAGUGGCGAAGGCGGCCUUCUGGACCAGUACUGACGCUCAUGCACGAAAGCGUGGGGAGCAAACAGG
rnacentral:rRNA from 1 species